CGGUACAAUAGACUGAUCCAUGCUGAUUCACUUCUCCACCCGAUGAAUCUUGCUUGAGGUUUAAUCUUCAUGUAUACAGUACGGCAGCUCGCUUCCAGCGGACGUAGUCAUAGUCGGCUCCUGUUGCGAGCAUCCGAUACUUCCGUGAAAUUUUCUGCUUUGUAGAUUGAUUUGCCUGAGAUUGUUUCCUUGAGACUUGAUCCAUGUGAAAUAAGCAGAAUGCCUUGAAGAUGAUUCGCUAUAAAUCUCUCCUACUUAAAAAAGGGGAAGAGGUUCCGUCGUCAGCCCGAACAUGGUCCGUUUCGUCAAACCGCUCGUCCCGCUUGCUUUCGUCAGCUCCCGUUCCUUUCAUCCAUCAUCCCACCCCCGGUGAUUCCGCGCAAAAUUGAUGUGAAUUGCCAAAACUACCGCGUAAGGAAAUUGCUAAUCCCGUCGCUCAUGUUCUGGCUCGGCGAGGUCGCACAUCUGGGCAUCUCCACACUCCAAAUCCCCCCUGAAAUCCUGAUGGCCCCAUCACCAAUUCCUAGGCCUAACUCUAGGCGGGACUGCGGCGGAUUGCGCCCCCGCUCCGGUGGUCCUUCCCAUGUAGGCCGGCACGCAUCUCGCCUCUCGAUCUCCUCUCCCAUCUCCGUUAUGGCGUUCCUGCUCGGAGGUCCACGCCGCCACGUGUUGUUGAGCGGGCAAGAUCAGCACUCUGUAGGUUAGGGCCAACCAGGAGGAGGAUCUAGCGACCAGACCACCAUCAUCAGCGCAAGAUGUGCGGGAAGGAUGAUUCUGUACCUAACUUUGCCCCAUUGUUUUUUGGUAAUGGGGCUGUUGAGAUUGAUGAUGAGGAGGAUGUGCCUCUGGUUCCAUCCAUAGUUGAUAAUUGGUGCCUCUCCAUUGCUGCUUGUUGUAACACUUCAAGUGCUAUAGUGCAGUUAAUUUUUGCAGACCAGACCUUUGUAUCGUAGUGUUGUUGUAGUUCUGUUUUUGACCGCUUUGCAUUUAUGUUUAUUCCUUAUAUGCUUGCCGUUGGUACCUACUCGGGUGGCUGCAGCACUGCCUUCUUCAGUGCAUUCAGCCUGGACUGGCCGUUCUGUCCUGUUUAGUGUGUACUACACAACUUGUGCUUUUGUUGCUUCACGGCUGUAGUGCAUGUGCAUCUGGUAGGAUGGUAGCCUUCUAUACAUAGUGUGGUGCACUGGUGUACAUGCUUUGUAAUGUAAUUUAUGCAGCUACCCGCAAGAAAAUUAAGUAACCUCCCAAUCAAGUUGGAUUGGAGUACAAUAUCUUAUAUUUGGUAGAAUGAAAAAUUCUGAUUCGUGAAUUCGAAUUGUUACUGGUCUUGAUUUCUUCUUCUUUCUACAAUGUAAGCUCUUCCGGUGUCACAACUCAUGGAACAAGCCAUAAAGUGACUCUUUGAAGAUAUGCAGUGAUGUUUACCUCCAUCUUACAGGACUCAAAGACAACAAUAAAUGGUGUCUCUUCACUCUAUUUCCAAGAAUGCUUGGAAAUAUAAUCUCCAUUGUUGUGCUACGUAAAUAUUGGAAUGUGUGUAUGAUUAAUUCAUCUGUGAGCUCUUAUAUUUUAUUAAGCUUGAUCUACACAUGAUACCAGUAUCUCCGCUCAUCACAUUUCUUACAGCCCUGAUUUUCUUGUAAAAGGUCUCUUUGAUGCAGAACAAUAGAUCCAUAUAUUUAUUUUCUUUGAUACACUUUUUUUAAUAUAGAUGUUAUUCACCGUGCUCACCAAGCUCUGGGUACCAACUGCUCUAGCAUUCAUUUGGUUCCUAUGUUCAGUUAUACCAUAUCUAUUAGGAGAACUGUCGACAAAUUCAUGCUGGGAGCAUGUAAUGAUGGUUGUUUUAAUUUGUUCACUCACAGUUGACUCUCUGCUGAUCUCUGAUUAAUUUAUUCUGUUUGAAGUACGAUGCACAAAAUUAUGCUUGGUGUCUUAGAAAAUAGCAUCGGAGUAUAUUAGCAACUAUGAUGACAUAGCACAAUGCUCACUCUCUCGGUAUCUUAUUUUCUUCGUUUCUAGACUAAUCAACUUUGUGCAAAACUACCAACAAACUAUUUCUCCUAAGGCUGUGGCUUAAUUAAGAUACUAAAUGAUCAUAUAAGUGUAAGUGCGCUGUAUAUGUUGUUAGUUUCUUAUUACGCACAUGGUUACAUCCCUUUAACCAUUUUUUUGCGUUUGAUGAAUUGCUAACUAGCGGAUGUGUAUAUCAGAGCGAUCAUGUUUGAGGACCUCUCCCUUCUCACACAGAUGGUUAGUAUGAAGUAAAGGAGCAACUCAAGCAGAUUAUGCCUACAAAGCUGAUAGGUCGCCUUACAGAAUUAAGUUGUGAGUCAUGUCUGAAAUACUCCCUCCGGUCGGAUUAGAUUGACGCAGGCUCGGGCAUCAAGUACACACACGCUGGAACUGUUUCGUGUCGAUUAAUUUCAGCCGGAGGUAGUAUUUCGUUUUUUCAUGGUUUUAUUGUUGUAUGACCAUGCAUGUUUCUUGUGCUAAGUAUCUGGUCAAACACCUUACUAUAUACCUCACAUGCAAAAAUAAGCACAAUUUUCUUAUCCAGAAGCAAUAGACCUCAUGAUUAUAUUAUUAUGAUGGUCAAAUAUCCCUUCGAGGUUCAGAUGUAUGCCUUGCUUAAUCUGAUAUUUUUCUUGUUAUUCAUUCACACAGAACUUUGUAUGGAUAUUUUGACUUAUUUGUACUUCCUACCCUUACAGCUUAAAUUAGCUGCUAAUAACAUGAAUAGAUUAUCUAUUCCACCCAGCAUUUUUUCAGAUGUUGAUUCAGAUUUUGCCAUGCAUACAUGUAGGUCUAGAUGCUUGCCUUUUCAGGUAAAAAUGUAUACCGUAUUUUUUUCCUGAUGUAGAUUUAUUUCCAACAAAUCAGAGAAGGCUCCUUUGCUACUUCUGGACUAAGCUCUUAAAUUCUCAGGUUUAAGCAAGCCUUAAACUGCAAUCCAUCAUGUACUAGAAGGGAGAAACGGCCAGGAAUCUAUAGGUCCAUCUGCAUGUUGUUUCUCUUUGUGAAUUUCGAAAUUUUCAAGAUAUCAUAUGGCAUGCAUUCUUCAAAAUGAAAGACUGGUGCACGGGUUGAUGUGAAAUCCCAGUUUAAGUUUGCACACUGAUUUUAUCAUGUGCAGUAAACAUAUUUUUGUUUGUUGUCGUUUCUACUUGGCAGACAGUUCGGUGAAUAGAAAUUGGGGAUGAAAAAUGGCUAGGUGAGCUAUUUAUACAUAGGGGUAGGGUAGAAAUCUGCGACUAAUUAAAGUUAGCUUUAGCCAGCAAGUGGGGAAAGAAGAAGAAUUGUUUUUCUUGAAGAAGGCAGGAGGGCUCCAGUGCUGUUUUCAUUUGUCUGUCAUGUUAUUAUCCUGUAAUAAUAAUUCAAAGUCUCAGCUAUGGGAACAACUACAACAGAAAAACACCAUGUCAUAUUGAUGUAAUGGGUACAAUGACUAGGUUGUUGGACUGGGGUGACUACAAAGCUCUGUAGCGUGUAGAAAAGAAAAUUGUAAAUAAAUUAAAAUGGGCACUUAUAAGAGAAAUUGACUUUUUUUAAUUAGUUGU